rnacentral:rRNA from 1 species
UACGUAGGGACCAAGCGUUGUUCGGAUUUACUGGGCGUAAAGGGCGCGUAGGCGGCGCGGUAAGUCACUUGUGAAAUCUCUGAGCUUAACUCAGAACGGCCAAGUGAUACUGCAGUGCUAGAGUGUGGAAGGGGCAAUCGGAAUUCUUGGUGUAGCGGUGAAAUGCGUAGAUAUCUGGAGGAAUACCGGUGGCGAAGGCGGCAUCCUGGACCGGCAUUGACGCUGAGGAGCGAAAGCCAGGGGAGCAAACGGG